rnacentral:rRNA from 1 species
UAACGCGUGGAUAACCUGCCUUACACUGGGGGAUAACNCUUAGAAAUAGGUGCUAAUACCGCAUAAGCGCACAGAGCCGCAUGGCUCAGUGUGAAAAACUUCGGUGGUGUAAGAUGGAUCCGCGUCUGAUUAGCUGGUUGGCGGGGUAGAAGCCCACCAAGGCGACGAUCAGUAGCCGGCCUGAGAGGGUGAACGGCCACAUUGGGACUGAGACACGGCCCAAACUCCCACGGGAGGCAGCAGUGGGGAAUAUUGCACAAUGGGGGAAACCCUGAUGCAGCAACGCCGCGUGAGUGAAGAAGUCAUUCGUGAUGUAAAGCUCUAUCAGCAGGGAAGAAAAUGACGGUACCUGAGUAAGAAGCCCCGGCUAACUACGUGCCAGCAGCCGCGGUAAUACGUAGGGGGCAAGCGUUAUCCGGAUUUACUGGGUGUAAAGGGAGCGUAGACGGCCAGACAAGUCUGAAGUGAAAAUCCAGCGCUUAACGUUGGAAGUGCUUUGGAAACUGCCGGGCUGGAGUGCAGGAGGGGCAGGCGGAAUUCCUAGUGUAGCGGUGAAAUGCGUAGAUAUUAGGAGGAACACCAGUGGCGAAGGCGGCCUGCUGGACUGCAACUGACGUUGAGGCUCGAAGGCGUGGGGAGCAAACAGGAUUAGAUACCCUGGUAGU